AGUAAAAAGUAGAAUAAUAGAUUUGAAAUAUUUAUUAUAUAGAUUUAAAGAGAUAAUCAUGGAGUAUAAAAUUAUUAAAGAUAAGUUUUAUAAAAAUUUUUAAUAAUAACUAUUAAUAGAAUUAGGUUACAAAUAAAUUAAUAAUAAUUAAUUUUAAAACCUAAAGGGAAACCUUAAUAUUAAUAAUAUAUAUUAUUUAUAUUAUUAAUAUGAUAAUAACUAAGUGAACUGAAACAUCUAAGUAACUUAAGGAGAAUAAAUCAACAGAGAUAUUAUGAGUAUUGGUGAGAGAAAAUAAUAAAGGUCUAAUAAGUAUUAUGUAAUAAAUAUGUAAGAAAAUAGGAUAACAAAUUCUAAGACUAAAUACUAUUAAUAAGUAUAAAAAGUACCGUAAGGGAAAGUAUGAAAAUGAUUAUUUUAUAAGCAAUCAUGAAUAUAAUUUUUAUAUUAAUGAUGUACCUUUUGUAUAAUGGGUCAGCAAGUAAUUAAUAUUAGUAAAACAAUAAAGUUAUAAAAAAAUAGAAAAAAAUAUAUAUAUAUAUAAAAAUAUAUUAAAAUAUUUAAUUAAUAUUAAUUGACCCGAAAGCAAACGAUCUAACUAUGAUAAGAUGGGUAAACGAUCGAACAGGUUGAUGUUGCAAUAUCAUCUGAUUAAUUGUGGUUAGUAGUGAAAGACAAAUCUGGUUUGCAGAUAGCUGGUUUUCUAUGAAAUAUAUGUAAGUAUAGCCUUUAUAAAUAAUAAUUAUUAUAUAAUAUUAUAUUUAUAUUAUAUAAAGAAUGGUACAGCAAUUAAUAUAUAUUAGGGAACUAUAAAAGUUUUAUUAAUAAUAUUAAAUCUCGAAAUAUUUAAUUAUAUAUAAUAAAGAGUCAGAUUAUGUGCGAUAAGGUAAAUAAUCUAAAGGGAAACAGCCCAGAUUAAGAUAUAAAGUUCCUAAUAAAUAAUAAGUGAAAUAAAUAUUAAAAUAUUAUAAUAUAAUCAGUUAAUGGGUUUGACAAUAACCAUUUUUUAAUGAACAUGUAACAAUGCACUGAUUUAUAAAAUAAAAUAAUAUUUAAAAUCAAAUAUAUAUAUAUAUAUAUAUAUUUGUUAAUAGAUAAUAUACGGAUCUUAAUAAUAAGAAUUAUUUAAUUCCUAAAAUGGAAUAUCAUAUUUAUUAAUAAUAAUAAAAAAUAUGAAUACUGAAUAUCUAAAUAUUAUUAUUAAUAAAAAGUAAUAAUAAUAAUAUGGUAAUAGAACAUUUAAUGAUAAUAUAUAUUAGUUAUUAAUUAAUAUAUGUAUUAAUUAAAUAGAGAAUGCUGACAUGAGUAACGAAAAAAAGGUAUAAACCUUUUCACCUAAAACAUAAGGUUUAACUAUAAAAGUACGGCCCCUAAUUAAAUAAUAAGAAUAUAAAUAUAUUUAAGAUGGGAUAAUCUAUAUUAAUAAAAAUUAUCUUAAAAUAUAUAUAUAUAUAUAUAAAAAUAUAUUAAUAUAUAAUAAAUAUAUAUAUAUAUAUAAUUAUAUUAUAUUUAAUAUAAACUAAUAAAGAUCAGGAAAAAUAUUAAUGUAUACCGUAAUGUAGACCGACUCAGGUAUGUAAGUAGAGAAUAUGAAGGUGAAUUAGAUAAUUAAAGGGAAGGAACUCGGCAAAGAUAGCUCAUAAGUUAGUCAAUAAAGAGUAAUAAGAACAAAGUUGUACAACUGUUUACUAAAAACACCGCACUUUGCAGAAACGAUAAGUUUAAGUAUAAGGUGUGAACUCUGCUCCAUGCUUAAUAUAUAAAUUAAAUUAUUUAACGAUAAUUUAAUUAAAUUUAGGUAAAUAGCAGCCUUAUUAUGAGGGUUAUAAUGUAGCGAAAUUCCUUGGCCUAUAAUUGAGGUCCCGCAUGAAUGACGUAAUGAUACAACAACUGUCUCCCCUUUAAGCUAAGUGAAAUUGAAAUCGUAGUGAAGAUGCUAUGUACCUUCAGCAAGACGGAAAGACCCUAUGCAGCUUUACUGUAAUUAGAUAGAUCGAAUUAUCGUUUAUUAUAUUCAGCAUAUUAAGUAAUCCUAUAUUUUAUAGGUAAUCGUUUAGAUAUUAAUGAGAUACUUAUUAUAAUAUAAUGAUAAUUCUAAUCUUAUAAAUAAAAAAAAUUAAUAAUAAUAAUAAUUAUUAUUAUUAUUAUUAAUAAUAAUACUUAAUAGAUAUAUUAUUCUUAAGUAAUAUAUAAUAAUAUUAUUAUAUAUAUAUAUAAGAGACAAUCUCUAAUUGGUAGUUUUGAUGGGGCGUCAUUAUCAGCAAAAGUAUCUGAAUAAGUCCAUAAAUAGAUAUAUAAAAUUAUUGAAUAAAAAUAAUAUAUAUUAUAUAUAUUAACUAUAAAUUGAAAUAUAUUUAUAUUUAAUUCUAUAACCAAUAAUUUGGUAAUUAGAAUCCUUUUUAAGGAGUGAAUAUAUUUUAGUAAUAGAUAAAAAUAUGUACAGUAAAAUUGUAAGGAAAACAAUAAUAACUUUCUAUUAAAAAAAUAUUAUAUUUAUGAUUUAUAAAUAUGGAAAGAAUUAUAUUAAUAUAAUGGUAUAACUGUGCGAUAAUUGUAACACAAACGAGUGAAACAAGUACGUAAGUAUGGCAUAAUGAACAAAUAACACUGAUUGUAAAGGUUAUUGAUAACGAAUAAAAGUUACGCUAGGGAUAAAUUACCCACUUGUCCCAUUAUAUUGAAAAAUAUAAUUAUUUAAUUAAUUUAUUAAUUAAAGUAAAGUAAAUUGGGUGAAUUGCUUAAAUAUCCAUUAUAAAUAAAUAAAUUAUAUGGACAAUAAGCAGCGAAGCUUAUAACAACUUUUAUAUAUAUAUAUAUAUAGUUAUAAGAACGUUCAACGACUAGAUGAUGAGUAAAGUUAACAAUAAUUCAUCCAUGAGUGCCCAAUAUCUUAUAAAUAAGAAUAUAUAUAAUAAUAUAUAUAUUAUAUUACCCCCGCGGGCGCCAACCCAGUUGUUCACUGGGUUGGUCCCACGGGGGGAGAUUAUAUAAUAUUAAUUUAUAUUUAUUUUUAUAUUUAUUAUAAGAUAAUGAUAUAGUCUAAACAAUUUGGUAACAGAUUGUUAAAUAUGUAAUAUAUUUAAAUAAUAAUAAUAAUUGAACAGGGUAAUAUAACGAAAGAGUAGAUAUUGUAAGUUAUGUUUGCCACCUCGAUGUCGACUCAACAUUUCCUCUUGGUUGUAAAAGCUAAGAAGGGUUUGACUGUUCGUCAAUUAAAAUGUUACGUGAGUUGGGUUAAAUACGAUGUGAAUCAGUAUGGUUCCUAUCUGCUGAAGGAAAUAUUAUCAAAUUAAAUCUCAUUAUUAGUACGCAAGGACCAUAAUGAAUCAACCUAUGGUGUAUCUAUUGAUAAUUAUAUAAUAUAUUAAUAAUAAUUUUAUAAUUAAUAUAUUAUCUAUAUUAGUUUAUAUUUUUAUAUAUUAAUUAUCAUAGUAGAUAAGCUAAGUUGAUAAUAAAUAAAUAUUGAAUACAUAUUAAAUAUGAAGUUGUUUUAAUAAGAUAAUUAAUCUGAUAAUUUUAUACUAAAAUUUAAUAAUUAAUAGGUUUUAUAUAUUAUUUAUAUAUAUAUAUAAUUAUAUUAAAUAUAUAUAUAAUAUUAAUAAAAUAC
rnacentral:rRNA from 1 species